GUGAAACCCGCCCCAGACGCAGUCACUCCCCUACCCCUUUGGUGGGAAAGGAGCUUGGGCAGGGAGUGGAAAUCCAGCUCUGCCCCAUCAAGGAGGUGCAAGAGCUGCUAAUCACAUGAGGGCUACAGGAAACCUAUUAACCAUAGUAUUUGGGUAAAAGACGG
rnacentral:lncRNA from 12 species